rnacentral:rRNA from 1 species
AUACGGAGGAUCCGAGCGUUAUCCGGAUUUAUUGGGUUUAAAGGGAGCGUAGGCGGACUAUUAAGUCAGCUGUGAAAGUUUGCGGCUCAACCGUAAAAUUGCAGUUGAUACUGGUCGUCUUGAGUGCAGUAGAGGUAGGCGGAAUUCGUGGUGUAGCGGUGAAAUGCUUAGAUAUCACGAAGAACUCCGAUUGCGAAGGCAGCUUACUGGACUGUAACUGACGCUGAUGCUCGAAAGUGUGGGUAUCAAACAGGAUUAGAUACCCUGGUAGUCCACACAGUAAACGAUGAAUACUCGCUGUUUGCGAUAUACGGCAAGCGGCCAAGCGAAAGCAUUAAGUAUUCCACCUGGGGAGUACGCCGGCAACGGUGAAACUCAAAGGAAUUGGCGGGG